AUCAGACUCUGAAGCUGAAGAGAAUGAAGAUGAUGCUGACUAUGUUGAGUUCUUGGCUGGCUAUGUUCCAGAAGAGGAACAAGUAGAAGAAGAACAAGAGCAAAACCCAGAUCCCAUUGAAAUUUCAUCAGAGGAUGCUGAGGAGAAAUCAGAGAUUUCUUCUGAGUUUUAUCCAUCUGAUUAGGAUUAGGUUGUCUUUUUCU
rnacentral:lncRNA from 1 species